rnacentral:tRNA from 1 species
GCGCCCGUAGCUCAGUGGAUAGAGUAACGGACUACGAAUCCGGAGGUCGUAGGUUCAAAUCCUACCGGGCGCGCCA